GAUGAACGCUGGCGGCGUGCCUAAUACAUGCAAGUCGAGCGAACGGACGAGAAGCUUGCUUUUCUGAUGUUAGCGGCGGACGGGUGAGUAACACGUGGAUAACCUACCUAUAAGACUGGGAUAACUUCGGGAAACCGGAGCUAAUACCGGAUAAUAUUUUGAACCGCAUGGUUCAAAAGUGAAAGACGGUCUUGCUGUCACUUAUAGAUGGAUCCGCGCUGCAUUAGCUAGUUGGUAAGGUAACGGCCUACCACGGCAACGAUGCAUAGCCGACCUGAGAGGGUGAUCGGCCACACUGGAACUGAGACACGGUCCAGACUCCUACGGGAGGCAGCAGUAGGGAAUCUUCCGCAAUGGGCGAAAGCCUGACGGAGCAACGCCGCGUGAGUGAUGAAGGUCUUCGGAUCGUAAAACUCUGUUAUUAGGGAAGAACAUAUGUGUAAGUAACUGUGCACAUCUUGACGGUACCUAAUCAGAAAGCCACGGCUAACUACGUG
rnacentral:rRNA from 1 species